rfam:Parcubacteria (Campbellbacteria) bacterium GW2011_GWC1_35_31 TR76_C0002, whole genome shotgun sequence.
GCCUGGGUGGCGGAAUUGGUAUACGCGCACGACUUAAAAUCGUGUCUCGCAAGAGAUGCGGGUUCGACUCCCGCCCUAGGCA